ACUGAAGAUGUUGGGCUGAGACCAGAAGCAGGCGGGGCUGAGAAUAAAAUGAAGGCAAACCGAGAAACAAAAAAAUGGAGA